GACGAACGCUGGCGGCGUGCUUAACACAUGCAAGUCGAACGGUAAGGCCCUUCGGGGUACACGAGUGGCGAACGGGUGAGUAACACGUGGGUGAUCUGCCCUGCACUCCGGGAUAAGCCUGGGAAACUGGGUCUAAUACCGGAUAGGACCACUGCCUGCAUGGGUGGUGGUGGAAAGCUUUUGCGGUGUGGGAUGGGCCCGCGGCCUAUCCGCUCGUUGGUGGGGUGAUGGCCUACCAAGGCGACGACGGGUAGCCGGCCUGAGAGGGUGACCGGCCACACUGGGACUGAGAUACGGCCCAGACUCCUACGGGAGGCAGCAGUGGGGAAUAUUGCACAAUGGGCGCAAGCCUGAUGCAGCGACGCCGCGUGAGGGAUGACGGCCUUCGGGUUGUAAACCUCUUUCAGCACCGACGAAGCGCAAGUGACGGUAGGUGCAGAAGAAGGACCGGCCAACUACGUGCCAGCCGCCGCCGUAAGAC
rnacentral:rRNA from 1 species